rnacentral:rRNA from 1 species
UAGUGGCAGACGGGUGAGUAAUGUAUAGGAAUCUACCUAGUAGUACGGAAUAAUUGUUGGAAACGGCAACUAAUACCGUAUAUGCCCUACGGGGGAAAAAUUUAUUGCUAUUAGAUGAGCCUAUAUUAGAUUAGCUAGUUGGUGGAGUAAUAGCCUACCAAGGCAAUGAUCUAUAGCUGAUCUGAGAGGAUGAUCAGCCACACUGGAACUGAGAUACGGUCCAGACUCCUACGGGAGGCAGCAGUGGGGAAUAUUGGACAAUGGGCGAAAGCCUGAUCCAGCCAUGCCGCAUGAGUGAAGAAGGCCUUUGGGUUGUAAAGCUCUUUUAGUGAGGAAGAUAAUGACGGUACUCACAGAAGAAGUCCUGGCUAACUCCGUGCCAGCAGCCGCGGUAAUACGGAGAGGGCUAGCGUUAUUCGGAAUUAUUGGGCGUAAAGGGCGCGUAGGCUGGUUAGUAAGUUAAAAGUGAAAUCCCGAGGCUUAACCUUGGAACUGCUUUUAAAACUGCUAACCUAGAGAUUGAAAGAGGAUAGAGGAAUUCCUAGUGUAGAGGUGAAAUUCGUAAAUAUUAGGAGGAACACCAGUGGCGAAGGCGUCUAUCUGGUUCAAAUCUGACGCUGAGGCGCGAAGGCGUGGGGAGCAAACAGGAUUAGAUACCCUGGUAGUCCACGCUGUAAACGAUGAAUGUUAAAUAUGGGAAGUUUUACUUUCUGUAUUACAGCUAACGCGUUAAACAUUCCGCCUGGGGACUACGGUCGCAAGAUUAAAACUCAAAGGAAUUGACGGGGACCCGCACAAGCGGUGGAGCAUGUGGUUUAAUUCAAUGCAACGCGAAAAACCUUACCACUUCUUG